UACGUAGGGGGCAAGCGUUGUCCGGAAUCAUUGGGCGUAAAGAGCGUGUAGGCGGCCCGAUAAGUCCGCCGUGAAAGUCCAGGGCUCAACCCUGGGAUGCCGGUGGAAACUGUCGGGCUAGAGUCCGGAAGAGGCGAGUGGAAUUCCUGGUGUAGCGGUGAAAUGCGCAGAUAUCAGGAGGAGCACCGGUGGUGUAGACGGCUUACUGGACCACGACUGACACUGAGGCACGAAAGCGUGGGUAGCAAACAGG
rnacentral:rRNA from 1 species